GACGAACCGUGCGAACGUUGUUCGGAAUCACUGGGCUUAAAGGGCGCGUAGGCGGCCCAUCAAGUCAGGGGUGAAAGCUUCCGGCUCAACCGGAAAAGUGCCUUUGAUACUGGUGGGCUUGAGGGAGGUAGGGGCAGAUGGAACUUCCGGUGGAGCGGUGAAAUGUGUUGAUAUCGGAAGGAACGCCGGUGGCGAAAGCGAUCUGCUGGAUCUCUACUGACGCUGAGGCGCGAAAGCUAGGGUAGCGAACGGG
rnacentral:rRNA from 1 species